AAAGUCAGUUUCCUGUUUGCUUAGGGUUAUAUUUUAAUAAUUUCUUUUCAUUUUUGGCCUUGCUUAGAUAACUUUCAAGAACAUAUGGGGAAAGAUUUGGCAGUACCCUUCAUCCCUAAAGAAUUGCAAAAGAACUGUGCAAAAGAAAAUGGUUCAGAAAGCACUUCAGUCAAUCUGAGACUGCACCCCAUUAGAUGUCAAGCUUCUCUGGAGGCAAGACCAUCAGAGAGACAUCAGAACAUCCAAAUGUCUUCUGACAGGUCCGCUGCUUGUAAGAAAAAUGCCCAACCCUUCAACAAUGGCAGUGAAGAACCUUUCCUUGAAUUCUAUCUGUGUGAUUUUGCACUGAUUCUAACUACACAAAUGCUGGCCUGUUCCUUGAAGAUGGGUGUGGCAGAAAGAAAAUAAUCUGGAGAAAUACACGAAAAUGUUUACAAAUGAGUGUUCCAAGGGAUGGAAUAGGAGGUGGGGGAAGUGGUAAGAGCUGCAGUUUUGCCUCUGGGGGGUUGCAAAUGCUUCUGUAUGUCAGUGGCCUCCAAAAGGCUCCUGCCUCUGCCGCUCAACCAGGAGAAACUCACUCCCACAUCAGUCUCCAUCAGUACAAACACUACUGACAAUUUAAGAAAAUAUAAGCUUCUCAGAAUGUUAAAGCUGUAUUUGCAUAGUAUCAAAUAACCAGCCCACACUUUCUGAGCACCUUUUCUAAGCAAGGCAUUGUAGAAAAUUGAUAGACACAAAGAAGGAAGAGUCACAAGAGGGAGUUUCUUCCUCAAGGAGUUUAUACUCUGGAAGUGGGAACAGAGCCAUGUAGGUGGUCUCCGUGGAGACCAUUUGGGAACCCAAAUACCUUAGUGCCUGAAAAACCAAGACGGAGCAUAGACAAAUGAUUCAUCACAGGAAGCAGUGGCAGGACAAAGUAAAAUUGACCCCUCCUAGUCUGUUAUAUUCUACUCACAGGAUAAUUUACUCUAUUAAUGUAAAACGGAAUAUUGAACAUAAGUUGUUUGAAAGGAAGUCACUGAGUACAGCAUCCUAGAAUAGGGGUGGGGGGGUGACUAAAAUCACCUAGCUCAGCAAUGCUGUAAAGGUCUAUGGCUCUCCCUACGUUCCUCUGGGUGGAUGAGGCGGAGAGGCCAGCAGGGCUGUGGCGGGGGUCCAGCCACCCCAACACUGUGACUCUGUUGUCCAAAUUCCAUCCUAACAGUGUGCCUGUGAUUUAUCUCUAGACUGUGGUUUCACCUAAGAUGAGCUAAAGCAAAAUAUUUGUUCUGCUGAGAAAAAAAAUAAGGAAGGAAGGAAACGAGGAAGAAAGAAAGGAAGGUGUGCCCAUUAAUGUAAGUUCCCAUUUGGGAAACAAAUGAUUAUGCUCUGUUUGCACAGAAAGGAAGAAAAGCAAGAAGGAAGGAGGGGAUGCCACCCAUCUAAGCCGUCUAUCUUAUUAGGUGUGAGAGGUUAAGCAAUUAAGCCAAGGCUGAGCGUUUGCAAAUCUCCUAAUCAGGGCACUUUCAGAUGUAUCAUGCUGAUGCAUUAACACUGGUUGCACACAUGGGUUUCCCACCCAAUAACCGCCCCUCCCCUCCCCUUGUUCCUCUGUCCCUUUCUUUCAGGAGAGCUUGUAUUAAUUACAUAGGGGGUGUCCCUGUGUAACACAGAAAACUGCGUCCUCUCUAGAGCUAGCAGGGAAUCUUAAUCCACUAAAACUAUGAUGUAGUAUUUUAAGACAAAUAACAUGCAUUAAUCCAUUUUAUCAAUAAAUACCUCAUCAUGCCAUUUUGAACACAGUUAAUAGCAUCUAAAUUAAUAUCCAGUCCAUACACGAAUUUUCCUGAUUAUCCCUCCCCCAUUUUCUUAAUACACACAUUUUUUUAUAAUUGGCUGGAUUGAUCCAAAAGUGUUCAGACUUCUGCAUCUGAUUAUCAUACCUUGAGUCUCUGUUAGCCUAAUGAAUCUCCUCCUUUCUUUUUUCAUGCCACUGUCUUUUUGGAAAUAUGAGAUCAUUUGCUCAAUAGAAUGUAAUAUCUCUCGAUUUAGAGGGAUUUCCCCUGUUGUUUGACUAGUUCUUCUAUCCCUAAUAUUUCUUUAAACUGGUUGUGGAUCUGGAGACUGAGGGAGAUUCAGUUCCAUAUCAUAAUUGUGCAGGAAUACUUUUUGAGAGGCAUUAGGUAGUUAUGUUGCAUCACAUUAUGAGAUACACAUGGCAGAUCCUCCUUUCAGUGAAGCUAAGCUUUAUUAGUUGGUUACAGCCCAUAACUUUUAAAGAAACUCCUUUCCUCUUUUAUCAGCAGGAACUGGCUUCUGAGGACAUUGCUGAAGUGAGUUGACUGCUUUAUAUGGUGGUACUUUUCGUGGCAAGGCCCCUAGGUAUAUUCUGGCUAUUGAGAUGGGGUGGACAGUUUGCUAGGAAACUGUGAAGUCCUUCCUCACCCUUACAGUGGGCCUAAGGAGAGGACUCUCUCUCCUCUGAAUUUUGGAUAUUGCAGCACCAGGAUAUAACAUCUGAAUCACUACAGCCAUCCUACAACCAGGAAGGACACUGAGGACAAGAGCCAAAGAACUAUGUAGUUCAGGCUGGCCUUAAACUCACUAAGACAGAAAGAACCAUGGGCGCUCAUGGUACCACUGAGCAUCUCAGUGAGCCAGGAGCUGGGCCUACCCUAACCCUCUUACCUGGGAUAAUCCAUUGCUGUAUUUCAGUGGUUUUUAUUUGUUUUUCAUGACAUGGCACAUAGAUGAUGCUAUAUGAUAGGGUUUACGUGUCACACUGGCAUAGGAUUUUUAUGGAAGUUCAUAUGAUAUAAUGAAGAUAUGAAAAAUAAAAUGCAAAUUAUGAGGCAGUACACACAGUACUGAAUUUGUACAGCAUUCUAAAUAAAAACAUUUGUUGGGAACUUGGUCUUGCUUGCACGACCCUAAUACUUUUAAGCCAGAGAUUUUAUGCUUGAAAUGGCUACAUGAUGUUGCUAAUAAAAAUUUGUAACAUUAUCUUCAAAUACUUGAGUGUAACUGUUAAUAAGACACUUUGCAAAAGUAGAGAAUAAAAAAAUCUUAGAUCAUUAGAAAAAACUAUUAAAAACACAAUAAUUGAAAUUGUAUUUGACAAGCUCAACACAUGAUUUUUCUCUCAUUAAUGACUGAAUGCUGAAAUUUCUUGUAUUCAUGUAAAUGGACUUCUUAUCUAAUGGAAUUUUCUCAUAUCAAAUAUUUCAAAACAAUGCAAAGUUCUAAUUUAUAGAUGCACUGCUAAAGUAGGAGCCCUGCAGUGAGCAUCCUGUAGCAGAUGCCAGUAAAUAUUAAUAUAAACUACAGAUGGGUAGAUGUUUCUUAUUUAUUUAUUUAGGUUUUUAGAAAUAGAGUCUUGCUAUGUAGUUCAGGCUGGCCUUAAACUCACUAUGUAGCCCAGGCUAGCCUUGAACCUAAGGCAAUCCUCCUGCCUCAGCCUCUCAAAUGCUGGGAUUACAGGCAUGCAGCACCACACCCAGUUAGGCAUAUCUAAUACAUACAAAGACAAAUGUUAAAGUCACCACCUGGAGCUCUGCCUGCCACAGUCCCUGGAUUACUCCUUCUUCCUUCUGUAGCUCUUGGACACCAUGCCAUGAUUUGAGAGCACUUAGAAUAUAAACAUUCCAGAACCUUCUCCAGAGGGGUGCGUAUCUGGGGAUAGAACACCUCCUUGACUGUACUUAUCAUGUCAUGCUAGACAUCUAGGAGCUGUCCCCACUCAGACCAUUCAGUGAGAAGCCCCGAUGAAGCUAUUUGUAGCA
rnacentral:lncRNA from 1 species